UAUUGACAGUUAGGGAGGGAGUGACUAGUGGCAGAGGGAGGGAUGGGGUGACUAGUGACAGUCACCACCUUCCUCACUCUGUCACUAGUCACCAUCUCCCUCCCUCUGUCACUAGUCACCCCCUCCCUCAUUCUGUCACU